UUCUGCAUCCGCACAGUGCAACCUGCGUGUAGUGCCGUAAAGUGAUCCUACCGGCAAUCCUUUGUUUGAGAAAGUAACUGUAUUCAGAAUACACCAAUUUAAACUGUAACUAAAAUGGAAUACAAUUACUCUUAUUUUGUAUUUUAAAUACGUAACGCCGUUACAUGUAAUCCGUUACUUCCCAACCCUGCCGACACCACAUGAAUGCAGCAUAAAGCAUUCAAUUAUUUUACUUUCAUUUCAGGUAAAGGAACAUGGCCUCCGCUGGUUUUCUGCUCUUAACGCUCGCUGUCCUCAACAGUAUAGGAAGUUCACAGGGUUAUGGCUUUGUGAAAAUUCACUGCAAGACUCAAAACAUCGGACAGUAUGAGCAGGAGUCACGACUUGACUGUGUAAUCCACUACUCAAAAGAGGUAGAAGAUCCUGAAAUCGUGACGGUAAUUUGGAAGAAAGAGGGGGUUGAAGAACUACUUAAAUACAACCAUGGAGAACUUACAUCGUUGCCUGGAUAUUCAUUUGCUGAACCGUCCUGGAACAACAAGAACGUGAACGUAUCCCUGCUCAUUCACAAACCUGCUGUUAAGGACGAGGGAGUUUAUACAUGUUAUGUUCACAAACAGUGGUUUUAACAUCAACCAAACCAGACUGAACGUCACAGCCAAAUACGGAGUGCCAACUAUUCAGCCUCAACCUCAGGACAUUGAUCUCAACACCGACGGUUCCCUGACAUGCAAGUCCACCGGCUACCCAAAAGGCCGACUCAGCUGGUUUGAUAAAGACAACAAGCCUUGGUUAGAGCAACCCGAGGUGAAGGUGCUGAAGACAAAGAAUGGUCUGUUUAUCCUCUCAAGCACGCUGAAAAUACAGUGAGGAUCUGCCUUCUCCAAGUACACCUGCAAAGUGUUCAACGCCAGAGGAGACGAAGAGGCGGAGAAAUCUUUCACAGUGCAGAACAAAUCAUCGGCCGAAGGGCAUGGACAAGGCGCCGAAGGCACCAAUGGCUCCAAAGACUCAAACAUGAUUUUGGACACCAUGAUAGUGACUUCUGUGUUUGUCGUCGGGUCUCUGAUCGUGGGGUUGCUACUUUAAAAAAGACGAUCUCAGUAAGAUGAUCAGGAAACGGAGGGAGAUGUUCAAGAAAGUCUGACUACAGGAGAAACCAAGACCACUCUUACUGACGACCACUGAAAUCAACACUUCUUGUUUGCUUGAGCCCGCAUCAGCAUUUUAACUUUUCCUAAUGCAAACAUCCAUGUACAUAACCAGGUAAAGCUUGUAUCACUGUGAUUUAACAGAAACUGCAAGCGCUUUGUUCACCCUUAAUCUACCAAGUAAACAAGCUCCAAUCAAGUUUAAAAUGUCAACAAAGACUGAUAUAUCGCUGACAACAGGAGUAAAAGGGGUCCAGGUCAGGCUCUGUUGUCUUAAAGUAACCACAUUGGGAACCGUUCCGACACCACGGAGUCUCUGAUGUUGAUUUAUGGAGGACAAAAGUGUAUAAUGUGAUGAUUUAGCCCACGCAAUAACUGUAGCUUUUGGCAGCUUAUCAGCCUCCUUCUUACUCCCUCUUCACGUUCCAUGUCUUUAGUGAAGGGUUAGAAUCAUGCAAUACUUUUAAUUCGUGUUUGUGUGUGUGUGUGUGUGUGUGUGUGUAUGUAUUUUAAGGAAAUGCAACUAUUUCCUGCCAACGUUUCUUUUAUUCAUAUAUGUUGUGCUAGGAGGGGUUAGAGGCAUAAAAACAGGCGUGCUUGCUGUUGCCAUGGUGCUUUCAGACACUCUCUGCCAGUCUGCGCAGGCGC